ensembl:misc_RNA Metazoa_SRP Metazoan signal recognition particle RNA
GCUGGGCAUGGUGGCGCAUGCCUGUAAUCCCAGCUACUCGGGAGGCUGAGGCAGGAGAAUCACUUGAACUCAGGAGGCAGAAGUUGUAGUGAGCCGAGGUCGCCACUGCACUCCAGCCUGGGUGACAGAACGAGACUCUGUCUCAA